rnacentral:rRNA from 1 species
CCUACGGGCGGCAGCAGUGAGGAAUAUUGGUCAAUGGGCGAGAGCCUGAACCAGCCAAGUCGCGUGAGGGAGUACUGCCCUAUGGGUUGUAAACCUCUUUUGUCGGGGAGCAAAAGCCGGACGUGUCCGGCUGUGAGCGUAACCGAAGAAAAAGCAUCGGCUAACACCGUGCCCGCAGCCGCGGUCAUACGGAGGAUGCGGGCGUUAUCCGGAUUUAGUGGGUUUAAAGGUUGCGCAGGCGGAUUUUUAAGUCAGCGGUAAAAUCGUGGGGCUCAACCCCAUCCAGCCGUUGAAACUGGGGAUCUAGAGGGUGCGAGAGGUAUGCGGAAUGCGUGGUGUAGCGGUGAAAUGCAUAGAUAUCACGCAGAACCCCGAUUGCGAAGGCAGCAUACCGGUGCACAACUGACGCUCAGGCACGAAAGCGUGGGUAUCGAACAGGAUUAGAUACCCGAGUAGUC